rnacentral:rRNA from 1 species
UGAGUAAUGCAUCGGAACGUGCCCAAUCGUGGGGGAUAACGCCGCGAAAGCUGUGCUAAUACCGCAUACGAUCUACGGAUGAAAGCAGGGGAUCGCAAGACCUUGCGCGAAUGGAGCGGCCGAUGGCAGAUUAGGUAGUUGGUGAGGUAAAGGCUCACCAAGGCUUCGAUCUGUAGCUGGUCUGAGAGGACGACCAGCCACACUGGGACUGAGACACGGCCCAGACUCCUACGGGAGGCAGCAGUGGGGAAUUUUGGACAAUGGGCGAAAGCCUGAUCCAGCCAUGCCGCGUGCAGGAUGAAGGCCUUCGGGUUGUAAACUGCUUUUGUACGGAACGAAACGGUCUUUUCUAAUACAGAAGGCUAAUGACGGUACCGUAAGAAUAAGCACCGGCUAACUACGUGCCAGCAGCCGC